GACAGAGGGUGCGAACGUUGUUCGGAAUUACUGGGCGUAAAGCGCAUGUAGGCGGCAGCGCAAGUCGGGCGUGAAAUCCCACGGCUCAACCGUGGAAGUGCACUCGAAACUGCGCAGCUAGAGUCCUGGAGAGGAAGGUGGAAUGCUUGGUGUAGAGGUGAAAUUCGUAGAUAUCAAGCGGAACACCAGUGGCGAAGGCGGCUCACUGGCCCGAUACUGACGCUGAGGCACGAAAGCGUGGGGAGCAAACAGG
rnacentral:rRNA from 1 species